rnacentral:tRNA from 2 species
GCGCGGAUGGCGGAAUUGGUAGACGCGCUAGCUUGAGGUGCUAGUACUUAACCGUGUGGGGGUUCGAGUCCCCCUUCGCGCA